GGAGCGGUAGUUCAGUUGGUUAGAAUACCGGCCUGUCACGCCGGGGGGCGCGGGUUCGAGUCCCGUCCGCUCCG
rnacentral:tRNA from 1 species